GCCAGUGUGGUGAAAUUGGUAGACACGUCGGAUUCAAAAUCCGAUUCCUUCGGGAGUGCCGGUUCGAUUCCGGCCACUGGUACCA
rnacentral:tRNA from 2 species